rnacentral:lncRNA from 1 species
ACUCGGCUUGAUUAUUUGAAGCUUUAAAGUUAAAUCGAAAGGCAUAUUUGGUUACAAUCCCUUCGAAAUUGAUGAGGAUGAGACCAGCUCCACUGCUUUGUGCAUUGGAUGCUCUAUCAAUAUGUAGCAUCCACACCAAUGUUAAGUCAGGCUCAGAAGUUUCAACUUGCUUUAAUUUAUCAUUGGAUUCAUCCUCAGAGUUAUUGUCAGAUAUAGUACACUCGACGAUGAAAUCAGUCAAAACUUAAGCCUUCAUCGAUGGUUGUGAGCGAUAUUGAAUAUCAAACUCAUUGAGUUUUAUUGUCUACUUCGUCAUUCAACUUGAAAUGUC